rnacentral:rRNA from 1 species
GAUGAACGCUGGCGGCGUGCCUAAUACAUGCAAGUCGAGCGAACGGACGAGAAGCUUGCUUCUCUGAUGUUAGCGGCGGACGGGUGAGUAACACGUGGAUAACCUACCUAUAAGACUGGGAUAACUUCGGGAAACCGGAGCUAAUACCGGAUGAUAUUUUGAACCGCAUUGUUCAAAAGUGAAAGACGGUCUUGCUGUCACUAAUAGAUGGAUCCGCGCUGCAUUAGCUAGUUGGUAAGGUAACGGCUUACCAAGGCAACGAUGCAUAGCCGACCUGAGAGGGUGAUCGACCACACUGGACCUGAGACACGGUCCAGACUCCUACGGGAGGCAGCAAUAGGGAAUCUUCCGCAAUGGGCGAAAGCCUGACGGAGCAACGCCGCGUGAGUGAUGAAGGUCUUCGGAUCAUAAAACUCUGUUAUUAGGGAAGAACAUAUGUGUAAGUAACUGUGCACAUCUUGACGGUACCUAAUCAGAAAGCCACGGCUAACUACGUG